rnacentral:rRNA from 1 species
AGUGAACGCUGGCGGUAGGCCUAACACAUGCAAGUCGAACGGCAGCACAGUAAGAGCUUGCUCUUACGGGUGGCGAGUGGCGGACGGGUGAGGAAUACAUCGGAAUCUACUUUUUCGUGGGGGAUAACGUAGGGAAACUUACGCUAAUACCGCAUACGACCUACGGGUGAAAGCAGGGGAUCUUCGGACCUUGCGCGAUUGAAUGAGCCGAUGUCGGAUUAGCUAGUUGGCGGGGUAAAGGCCCACCAAGGCGACGAUCCGUAGCUGGUCUGAGAGGAUGAUCAGCCACACUGGAACUGAGGCACGGUCCAGACUCCUACGGGAGGCAGCAGUGGGGAAUAUUGGACAAUGGGCGCAAGCCUGAUCCAGCCAUACCGCGUGGGUGAAGAAGGCCUUCGGGUUGUAAAGCCCUUUUGUUGGGAAAGAAAAGCAGCAGGUUAAUACCCCGCUGUUCUGACGGUACCCAAAGAAAAAGCACCGGCUAACUUCGUG